UAAGCAUAUCAAUAAGCGGAGGAAAAGAAACCAACAGGGAUUGCCCUAGUAACGGCGAGUGAAGCGGCAACAGCUCAAAUUUGAAAUCUGGCCUCGGCCCGAGUUGUAAUUUGCAGAGGAAGCUUUAGGCGCGGCACCUUCUGAGUCCCCUGGAACGGGGCGCCAUAGAGGGUGAGAGCCCCGUAUAGUUGGAUGCCUAGCCUGUGUAAAGCUCCUUCGACGAGUCGAGUAGUUUGGGAAUGCUGCUCAAAAUGGGAGGUAAAUUUCUUCUAAAGCUAAAUACCGGCCAGAGACCGAUAGCGCACAAGUAGAGUGAUCGAAAGAUGAAAAGCACUUUGAAAAGAGGGUUAAAUAGCACGUGAAAUUGUUGAAAGGGAAGCGCUUGUGACCAGACUUGCGCCGGGCUGAUCAUCCGGUGUUCUCACCGGUGCACUCUGCCCGGCUCAGGCCAGCAUCGGUUCUCGCGGGGGGAUAAAGGCCCAGGGAACGUAGCUCCUCCGGGAGUGUUAUAGCCCUGGGCGUAAUGCCCUCGCGGGGACCGAGGUUCGCGCAUCUGCAAGGAUGCUGGCGUAAUGGUCACCAGCGACCCGUCUUGAAACACGGACCAAGGAGUCAAGGUUUUGCGCGAGUGUUUGGGUGUAAAACCCGCACGCGUAAUGAAAGUGAACGUAGGUGAGAGCUUCGGCGCAUCAUCGACCGAUCCUGAUGUUUUCGGAUGGAUUUGAGUAGGAGCGUUAAGCCUUGGACCCGAAAGAUGGUGAACUAUGCUUGGAUAGGGUGAAGCCAGAGGAAACUCUGGUGGAGGCUCGCAGCGGUUCUGACGUGCAAAUCGAUCGUCAAAUCUGAGCAUGGGGGCGAAAGACUAAUCGAACCAUCUAGUAGCUGGUUACCGCCGA
rnacentral:rRNA from 1 species